CAGGCCUUAAAGCUCAUCUGGAAGGUGCCAGCCUGAAAGGAGUGGCCAUGGAGGGCAGUCAGAUGACAGGAAUUAGCCUCCGAGUUGCAACGCUGAGAAAUGCCAAACUAAAGAACUGUAACCUCAGGGGAGCAACGUUGGCAGGAACUGAUUUGGAAGUUGUGACCUCCAGGAAGCCAAUUUGAGGGGCUCAGAUG